AGCUACAAAUGUCAGUCAUUUGAAGGGUGGGCAGGGCAAGGAAAGAGAGUCAACCAAUACCGACUCCUCAAAUGCAGUCACAACUUCUGUGGGCUUCGACAUUCCCCAGCACCUUUCCAUUUACUACAAGCAUCCUGCUUCCGGGCUCGGCCUGGGACUCCUUUCAGUAUUCAGUAUCACAAACAUGGCCUAACCACAUCCAUAGACCCUUGCUAAUUUUAGCCUCUUUUGUGUCAUUACAAGAUACCAAAAUAAAAACGUCAAGCCAGGUUCUCCAUCCAUGCUAUGGGGGAAAGUGAUUGGCAUUCUGUGCAGUGAAGUCUUAGGACUCACCGAGUCCAUAAACACACCACCCUGGAGUUGUCCGUGUGCACCGACACUCCACACAGGGAUUCUGAGCCCUUGCUACACACAGUCACCUGGGGAAUUUCUAAAAGUCACUGAUGCCUAGGUCCUGCUCCAGCCCAAACAAACCAGAAUUUCUGGAACAGUCGACAUUUUUCCAAGUUCCCCAGAGGGGUCUAAUGUGUAGCCAGAUUUGAGAACCUAUGGCCCCUAUUCUCAAAGGGCCAUCACAGCCUCGUUUGCGUCCCUAUUUAAUAGCUGAGGAAAAGGGGUUGUGAGGUCACACCAGGAGCUGGUCAUGGCAGAGCUGAAGCUGCAGCCCCUGUCCACUGUUCCUAGGCGGGAGAAGUCGGCCGGGAGAGAACACAGCAGGGUUUGGCGCCGGCCUCGACGCCCGCGCUCCUGCCAGCUUCCUGCAUGGCAUCCCCCUCUCCAGCUGGCUCCUACAAAACAGGCUUGGCACCAUUCACUUGGCAAGCCACGUGGGAGACCACAUCAGGCCUAACUGGAAUGAAACAGGGUCAAGGGACCUUAGCUCAUACAGAAUCUUGUUUUUUGCUUUUGUUUUUAAUUCUAAGAAGCUUAUAAGCAAAAACAAUUACAUUCCUCUUUUCCCUUCUAUUGUGAUUUUCCAUCAAAGAAGCUCCAAAAAGAAUCAGAGCUGUCUCUUGAGGUUUAUGUCUUGAGUGCUUUUUAAAAUCCAUUUCAUUUUUAGGAUGGGGGCUCUGAGAGUGGGGUUUUCUUUGUUGUUGUUGUUAAUAAGUUCAAAUUCUACAAUAAAGGAACGCAAUUUCCUUCCUCUGUGCAGCUGUUGCUAAGUGGUACAAAUAAGAUUCAGUAUGAGAUGUAAUAUGGUUUGCAGGCUGCAAUUUCCACAUCCAGUGAUGGAGUUAGAGAAAUCCACAGGAAACAGAAGGAAACUUGCCUCAGUGCCGACCAUUUGUCAGCCUAUACUUAUUACAUCACUGGAGUCAUGGUUUUUGGAAACUGUUCUAUUAAUUAUUUUCAUGACUGAGAAACAAUAUUAUGUCUCUGCCCAGAAGACAACAUAAAAGCACAUGCAGAUUUUCAUCAAUCACAUUCCUAACUGAUUAUUUCUAGCAUUGGCCUGUUCAUGUAUGUAUUUUAAUAGAAAAAAACAUUACAAGCUUUAUUAUCUGCAUAUUGCAGUGGCUCCCCCUUAGGAGUUUUUCAGAGGAUAUAAUCUCAAAAUAUAGUGACAUUUUCCAACACUGUGGGGAUUCCCAAGGAUGCACAAUGAGGCGUUGGCAUUGCAAAGGCAGGAUUUGCCUGGGUUUUUGGUGGGCUGGAUCUGAGGACGUGGAUCACAAGUGUUUGUUUCAGCCAUAAUCCUCCAGGUUUCCCAUCUCCCCAAGUUUCAGAGCCCAGGAUUGGCUGCCACGUGUGAUGCUGGGUGGGUCCUGGAAUGCAGCCAGGGACCUGGGUCCUUAUCCUACAUCUGUCCUGAAGGAGAAGGUCACUUUGGGCAAGGCCACUCUCCCUGUGCCUCAGUGACUUCCUGAUCAGGUGCAGGUAAGUCAGCUGGGUAGGGCUGAGCUGAGGUCACGUUGACGGAGCAUUCUGAAGACUUACGGCUUCUAGGCAUGCUUUGGGUGUCAUUAUCAAUACAUACACCUACGUAUGUGCAUCUGAGAUGAGCAUGACUGGCUAGGUUCUGAAGACAACUUACUCCUAGCCUUCUGGUGUGAUAGGAGGCGUGGGAAAGCUGAGUUAAGGACCUCCUCCUCUGAAUGUUAGACCCCAACUAUAAUCAAAUUCUUAACUUGUGACCCUCAUACACUGAAAACUAUACAGAAUCUAUUUCCUCUCCACCAGUUGAGAAACCAUACUCAGUUACAUUCCUUAGUUGCCUUCCAUAGUUCCUUUGCAAACAGUCUAUAAGCAGCAAUUAACUAUGCAAACUGGGGAUGCUUUUGCUGCCUCUCUGAAUGUUGUCACUGAGAAUUCUGCUGGAUGUUUAAGGAACUUUUAGGAUGCAGAGUCUUCAUUAAUCAAGAUUUGCCUUUGUAAUGACCCACAGAAUGUGGAAGAAGGGGCAAAGGGAGGCCUUGGCCAACCCCUGUGUCUCCCUAAUCCUCUCACUCUGGUUGGUCUGUCUCACGGAAGCGUCCCUUUCUCCCUCUGUCUGUUUCGGGGCCUCCGGUGACCACCCACUUCCUCCUCACAGUCCAGUUACCUCACUUCUCUGCCUGGCCCUCGGGCUGCCGGGAGCACCUCCCAAGGAGAGCAGGAAGGGAAGGCAAACCACUCCUGGCCAGGGGUGCAAGCACAGGGUUAAGGGGGAGGAAACUGGAAGGACCCCAAAUCCACGGGAUGUAAGCACAUACGCAGAUAUACACACCCAGGUAAUUCUGUUCCCUAUGAGGACUAGACAUUCAGCAUCAGUUGUAAAGAUGGUUAAAGUUAUACUGGAAACUGGAAGCUUCUCUUGGAAACUGUAUCUUCCAUAGCCAAACAGGUUAAACACAAGAGGCAAGCUGGUGGUGGACUAGGAGUCAGAACCCUAAAGUUCUUGUUGCAACCUAGCCUCCUCCAGCUUCUGCAGUAGUACCUGGUGCACAGUAAAUACUGGAUGUAAAAGAGAGGCCUUGGGUAGGAAACCAGAGCAGCGGCAGGUGGGAGAGGGAUCUGUUUUGCUCCAGGCCUCUUCAGGCUGGGUUACAAGAGUCAAGGCAAAUUCCCAAGAUCCCUGAACCUCAAUCUUCUCAUCAGUAAAAUGGGUAUGAUAUAACAAGACAUUUGCCUGCUUUAUGGGGCUGCUUUGAAGAUGAAAAAUGAGAGCAUGUUAUAUAAAAAGAAAAGCUUCACCAAAAUGCUGGUGACUACUGACGUGGGGAUUCCAACUUUUGACUGAAGUCAGUGCAAAGAAAUCUUUUUUUUUAAACUUUAGGUGCUAUUCCUUAGUUAAGCGAUUGAAAGAUGACUGAGGAAGAAAAACUUCUUCCAAUUAUAUGGCUACAUGAUGGAGAUGGCCAAAGUGGCAGUGGCAAGCAGGGGAAAGAAGUGGUUAACAACAAAAAAUAAAAACAAAGGAAAAGAAGGUGGCCAUCAACUCAGAGAGGUAGCACAGGUGGUGAGUGCUUUGAUGUUAGACCUGGGUUUGAAUCAUAGCUCUGCUACUUAUUUAAUUGGGAAAACUUAGGCAAGUUAUUUAGCUAUAUUUAGCUUUGAUUACUUUCUAUAGAAUGGGAAUUAGCUGUCUUGGAAGCCUCACACAGGGAUUGAAGAUAACAUAGAAAUGGCCCGGCACAGUGAUGGCGCAGGGAAGGGGACUGCCAUCCCCCGCUGAAACGCUGGAGCACUCAGUUCAGGAAGGCUGCUGGGGUCUUCUGGUGAGCCUCUGGUCAGAAGUCACACUGUCCUGAGGCACUGAGUCACUAUGCACAAGAGGGCUUUAUACUAACAGAGGGAAGACCAAACAAGAAAUGGAUUUCUAUUCUAAACACAUGCAAAACAGCAGGCGUCAGGAAACUAAUCCAGGCUGCUGAAAUGACAAACACCUUGGCAAACACCUGAGAGAAUGCCUCCCACCAUUCUGCUCACAGCAAGUGGGAUGCAUUCUCAGAUGGCAGGUGGAACGCUCUUUGCAAGUUGUCUAAGGCUCAAUUCAGCGACCAGCUCACAGUGAGAUUUUCCUUGAAGCAGAAACAAAGAGGAGGGGGAUGCACUGCAGAGUGGGAAGCUAUGUCUAUUCCCAAUCUGGCCCCACUACUGCCGGUCCCCCUCUGUCCCUCGCUGUGUCACUGCUCUGGUGGCCUGUGCCAGCCCCAGGAUGGAGCUGGGAGGUGGGACAGUGGGAAGCCCUGGCAGGUUGAGCAGAGGCCCCGGCCCCGACGCCUGAACACGCUCCGAAACAAGGGUGCCCUCAGCCAGGAAGCCACUGGGGACCUUCUCCGGGUAGAGACCAACCGCCUCCUGCCAAGACUCUCUCUGCUCAGUUUUUAUUUUUCUCAGCAGGAUACCUCUCUCACUUACUUGCUCAUGCAGUCUACCCUCUUCUAAAGCCCCGUGUAGCUUGAUUAUAGACUCGAGGCUGUUGGAUCCAGAACUGCCUUAUCUGGAGCACUGCCCAGUGGGCCACCCCUGGUCAGGGCAUAGCCCUGCCCUCCUAAUGCUUUAUUCCAUCGCCAGGGUCCCAUCUUACCCGACUGUAAUGGGAGGAUGUCUAAAUAUGCACAGUGGUGAGGGCUACAGGAGAAACAUUUAUUUAUAUCCCAGAGAAAAUAAAUAAAGUUAAAAAAGCAAGCAGGAAGUUCCUUAAUAAGGGGCUGCUCCAUUACCACCCCCUCCCUCAACGCUUUGGGAGCAGCUGCAGGGAGCAGCUCGGAACGGGUGUGUCCUCCUCCACCCCCGCCCCCCUCCCAGACUGCGCCUGGAGCCGGGGUUCCUCCGCUCUGGCCCUGGGAGAUCCUGCAGGAAAUGGAGGAAGUAUGGACACAGCCCAGGCAUUUGGUUAAGUAUUUUUAAAAAGCUUUCCAAUUCUGCUAUUUUUUUUUUUCUCCUCACAUUCAAUAUUCUUGGUUGCUAAGUGGGAGGAAAUGUGGGGAGGUGGGAGAGGUGUGGAGAACCGAGGGAAAAUUGGCAACAUGAAAGCAUUUAUUUUCUCAUUUCUAAAGGGAGUGCAGGCAAAGGAGCGCGCUCCAGGCCGGAAGCAGCUGGCGUGCGCAGCAUCUCCUGGUAGCUGGGCCUGUGGCAAACACUCUUCCCCAAGUCCUGCUGCUGCUAAGAGGCCAGGAGCGGGGGGCUUUUAAGGAGCACAAAUAUAGGCAUUUUCUAUUUCUGCUUACAGACUAAGAAAAGUAGCAUUUAAAAAAAAAAAAGAUCUUUAUUUUCAGAACAUACCCACAAAAGGAAGAAGGCCAGUUUCCUGAUUAUCUGUUCACCAAGAGGAAGAUGGUAAUACAGGCCCUGGUUAGAAGGCGGGCUCUUGGUGAAUUCCUGCCACUCCAGCUCUGCAAGGAGUCAACUGGCUACUUGCUGGACGUGGGACUGGACAGUGGGCUGGCUCUCCAGCCUGGCUGCCUCCCUUCCAGCUGCCCUGCCCCGUGAGGCCUGUGGUCACAAGCCUGUCUAAUGAUGGGUCAGUUCACAAGGACCCAUCCCCUUAACAGGGCCCUGGUUCAGAAACUUGUAAAACAACAUCUCACACCGAACCUGCUUGCACUCUGUUACUUUCCUGACGCCCAGCCACCUUUCUUCUCCCGGGCCACCAGCCUGUGCGCCCACCUCCUGGGGGUGGCACUGGGCAAGCCACACCCGCACUGCAGUUAUGAUUUGAGUAGCACAUUUUUAGGUGCCUGACUUUGAAGAGCAUAAUGUAAGAACUUGAAAAAUACUCUGAGUUUACAAGCAGUUGUUUGCAUUUACUGGCAUCACUAGGUCCCUUUUCAUUAAACUAUUUCCCUCACAGGGCAGGGCACACUUAGUAAUCUAAAUACAUGCCAGGAAAAACUGCCCAAGACUUGAAAAUGGGCACGAUAGUUUAUUGGUGUCUUUCAGUGGCAUGCUGGGCUUGACCAGUGGAGCUUGCUGGGUGAGAGAAAUCAGGCAGAGACCAGUUGUGGAUUGAGCCUAACAGGUCACCGCGGCAGCGGAAGUCAAAGGAACCCAUGAUUUGGAGACUUCAUUGGUCCCUGGGAGAAAGUCCCCUUAGACACAGAGUGUGUGAGGCUCCACCAUUACUAUCUGCUGCUCACGAGGACCUGGAGAAUUACACAAGAGAUGUGACUCGGGUGAUAGAAAUAUCUACAAACAACCUUCCACAAUGAUCCUCAGUGAAGGGAUCUCCCGUUCCCAGUUCUACUUGGGUCUCUGUACACACCAGCUCCCUUGGUCCCUGGGCUCAUCACUACCACCCGUGUGAAAGGCCCAGUGUGAGCCCAGGUACCUUCCUGACGGUCUUCCUGUCCCCCGACUUGCCCAGCUCUCAGAAAACAUAAAGAUCUCCGAAAAUCAUCUUCAUUCCCAGCUCGAGAAACUGCAAUGAUUCUUUACUGUCUGUACAAUAAGUCACACUUCCUUUUGGGUCCCUCAGAGCACCACCCGCCGGCCACUCCUGCUUCCCACCCCACUCUGUCCGAGCAUCCCACCUAUUCCUACCAACAUGAUUCACUGGCCAAAGGCUGUGUUUCUUUCAUUACUCUGUGAAUGUGUAUGCAGGUCCUCAAUCUUACUCUCUCCUAAUCCACGUCUCUCCUUCAUUCUUUUAAUUCAGCUAAAACCCCACUAAUCAAACAAGUCUUCCACUGAUAACACUGUAGGCCUUCAUCUUCUCUACUCAGUAUGUAUCACAUUAGCUGGCGUUUGUUGUUAAUAAGAACGAGAAGAAGCAGAAGAGAGGGAGGGGUCCUGCUUACUAAGGCCUCCGGCGUUUGGCACCGCACCAGCACUACCAGCGUCAUCUUUGCAAGGGCCCUUCUCAGGAGGCGGCAUCUGCCUCCUUCAGUGUGAGCUCCAACCCCUCUCCCUCUUGCCUCCCUUCUGCCGUGCCUACAAUUGUGCUCAGAGGUCAAUGGGCCUUCAGUCAGCAUUUGCUCACGGACUACUUUAUAAACUACGGAAGAUGAAGAAAUACAUUCCUAGUGAUUUAAGGACUCCAAGGUACUUUGGAGGAGGAAAGUCUUCCCCCCACCCCCUGAGAUGGGAUGGGGGUGGUCCUGGCCGCACCACCGUAGCUCAGGGAUGGGCUGGCACCAACCCCUCCCUCCUAAUGGGACACAGGAUGCUGCCCAAGGUGGCGCUGUGGCUCCCUGGGGCAUCUGGGCUGCCGCCUCCUUAAACCUGGCUUUGCAGAAGCUUAGGACAGUGGGAUGAUGGGCCAGGUAAAGAAAGGGAUGCAACUUCUGAUCUACUAGCAGGUGAGAAUAAAGAAGGAAACCAGAUGAGGACAGGGAGUGGAUUCUGCUCAAAAACAUCCACAAAAGUCCCUGAGGCCUUUCCAGGGCUGCCUACAUGGAAUGGCAGCCAUGCCCGGUGUGUUGAGGGGAUUUUAAGGAGCCAGAAGCUAGCUCCUGCUGGUGUCUUCCUGAGGCUAGAAGGCAGUGGAGGUAGCUUGACGCCAGACACUCCCACCAAACUUGGGUCAACUGGGAGAUACGUAUCCCUCCAGAGAGAGAGGACUGUUUCCGCGGAGGAAGCUGCUGCCACAGGGUUGCCUAUCAGCAUUUGGGGGAGAUGUAUUCAGAGACCAGAGACCCUCCUGGAUGAGGGCUGGGUGCUAAGCAAUUUGGGCCACUGAGGGUCCCACCUAAGAAUGUGGAGAUGUUCUCUGGGAGGCACACCGAGUUCUUCUGCCUUAGCCAAGCUCCGAGCUUGCCUGCCGCAGGGACAGUCUUGAGGAAGGUGGGGAAGGUUUCCCUGCAUGGCAGGCAGCACUGUGGCGCUGACAGCAAUUAUCCACGAACGAUUCCUUCAACUGUACCCAAAGUACUAAAUGCCAGAGCUUGUCUCUAUGCCUCAGUUUGGGGGAACAGUUCUGUGCAAGGCUUCUUGGCUGGAAAAAGAACUUCUAAUUAGCAUGAAAUAACAGCUUUCAAACACUUGACUCAGGAUAUGGAGUUGAAAAGGUGUGGGCUGGUUUUAAGAGAGCCAGACAGGAAGAACAAUAGUACAAGUGCUGAGUACAAAUGAUGGGAAAGGCACCUGGGAGUGAGACAAGAGGGGCAGCAGGAAAGGGAGGCAGGCAGAGAAAGGAAGCUGGAGAACACAGGCAGGGGACUGACAGCAGCGCCCCGCAAACGUGGUCAGGUGUUUCCACGUGGGGAGGAAGACUGACAAGCCCAACUCAGACCCUCCCCGGGAAGCACAGGUAAAAGCAGGGGAUGGAGUCCGGGUCUCAAGGAGAUGGUGCAGCCUCUCACCCUUUGCCCCAACCUUGUGUAUAAGGCGGAGAACAAUACGGAAAACAGACCCAGUGAUGCCCUCAUCAGAUCUGCUGAGCCCUGUUCACACAUUGCAAGACUGUGGGAAAACAUCUGGCUGGGUGUCUGUUCCAUCAGCACAGACAUGAAGAGCACACAAACGAUGAUCAGCAUUAAUUUGCUGCAGGUCAUGUCCAGAUAUUCUAGAUGCAGUCUACUGAGGAAACCCCGAGGCAACAAACAAACAAAACAAAAAACAAGUUAUGAAAAGACCUGGGGCCAAUCAGCACUGACUGCCUUUCAACAUGAGGAACUGCCAGCCUGACAGCGCAGAAGAGAGGCCAGGCUGAGACCAUCUGCUGACAUAUCACCGGGUCCAAUCAUGAAUCAAGAUGCCUCUCUAAGUAUACUCACAAGUCACAUGCUGGGAAAAUGGUCUACUCGUAUCUCCUAUCCCUGGCUCAAAGUUUAUCAACCUAGUUAAAACACUUCUGUUCAGAGACUCAUUGAAAAUUUACAGGAAAUUCAUGACUAGAAAAGCCCUGUGCAAAUACCAAUCUCACUGUUAUGGGCAGCUGGAACUUAGCGUCUGAUACAAUGCCUUUCGUGAUCUGGCUCCUGCCCACGUUCCCAGCCUCCGUCUGCCCACUGCCCACCACGGACAUCCCCCGUUCAAGCCAUGACUGAGUUCCUCUAGAAGUCCCUCUCCUUUGUGCCCCUGAGUCUUUGCCCAUGCCACUCCUUCUGUCUGGAAUGGCUUUCCCAUCCAACCAUUUCUGCUUUUUAAGCAUCUACUCAUCUUUCAAGAUUCAGGUCAAAUAGCACAUGUUCACUGAAGCCGGCCUGAAGUAAUAGGAGCUCAAGCUCCCAAAUGGAAAUGCAAUCCCAAAAAAUACAAGCGCUCUCAACUGUGCAAUAAUAAGCCACAAGCCAGGAAACUCUUGCUUUCAAGACAAGUAAAAUAAUAACAGUAACAACAGCAGCUGCCUGACACUUUAAAUAUUUAAUCGCUGAUUCUUACAACCCUGCAAGUUAGGUUGAGAGGCAAGCAAUUUGCCCAAGUUCACACUGCCAGCCACUGGUAAAGCAGAAAGGCAAACCCGAAUCCGUCUGACUCCAAAGCACUGAACAGGAAACAAAGGGGAACAACAGAAAAUAUUCUAACCACACUACUGACACUAAUGAAGACACACAGAAUUAUCUAACCCAUCGCCAAAUAUUUCAAACACUAAAACGUCAAAGAUCUGUGUUAGAUACUGUGUGGAAUAAAAAUACAGUUCCUUGCCCUCAGAGCACUUACUGUCCCAUCAAAAGAAAAGACCUGGUCAUGAGUUUUAGGCAGGACUGCCGGCUGAGGGACAGACUACAGCCCUGCAACCUGAGUAGGGCUGCAGGAAAUGAGGAGGUGGGCUGCUGGGGUGCUAUUCCCAGCACACAUCAUACGCGGCCCUUUGAAAAAUGAUCACAUUUAUCCAUGCUUUUAUGAGUUGCCUCUUUCACCCAAAAGCCAGGCACAUUUGAAGGACCCGACCCAGGUAAUCAAAGUUUCACUUUUAAUUAAAAUAAACAGAAAUGACAUUUUACCGUAUUUUUUGGAAUUUUUUUUUUAAACACUCCCAAAAUAACUCUAGAGAUAACAACCAUGUUUGGCUAAGUGUAGAGCUUAGAAAAGAAACGCAGCACCCUUGGUGAAGCUCUGGGGCAUGUGGCAUUGUGGCUUUUCACUGGGCACUUUAGGGUAUGUAUCUCAGUGGCAUUUUAUCAGGGCCAUGUUCACUGUCUAAUGAUCAUCUCCAGGAAGACUUCCUUGACCCCCUGGAAACUGCCCCCAGUCACUGGUCACUCAUCGCUAGCACAUGGCUCUAGCUUAGCUCUAUCUUGGGUCUACUGCCACGAGUGCCAGACUUCAGACCCCACUCCUUGAGCUCUUCGCAGACCCCACGGCUCCCUGUCUGUGCUCCUGGUGUUCCAUCCACCUGCCUGGAAGACAACCCCAACUGUGACAACCCCGCUGUUGACAUCUUCCAUGACCCCCAUCCCACGCAGAAUCCACCUCCUACUUCAUCUCACCAGCAUACAAUAUUUUUUGUAAUGUUUCUUCAUCCCAUGUUUCUACAGUUGAUCACCUAUACAUCAAUGUGCCUAAUAAUGAAUUUGAAUUGGUUCAUCCUUUAGUCAAUCAUUUAAAAAGUGUCUGUUAUGCUCCUGAGGCUAUAAAGUGGAAUGAGACAUGGUCUUUCCCUGCCAAAAGCUCACAGUCUAGAGUUAUAUACACAGGAUAUGUGAUGAACACAGACAGAUGUGUGGACAAAGUUCCUUGGCAACACAAAAAGGAGACAGAUUCUGCUUGGGGCUCAUGGAAGACAACAGAGAAGACAAAGGAAUUCCACUGUUGGCGGGAGAGGGCUGCUGGGGAGGAGCCUUGCAGGCGGGCGACUGACCAUCUCGAGCACAGCAGAGAGAUUUGCGUGUCCACAGUGAGCUCAACGAAUGGAGUCUGGAAUCUGGGAUAGAAGGCUGGGGUCCAAGAUAAAGCCGAAGGGUAGGUAUUCCUAAAUUCUGACAUCUAAUACACCUUACAAAGCUUUCUGAUGAAGAGCUCUCAAUGAGAAUCAAUUGGAAAAGCCUACAGAUAUACUGAAGUAACAAUUUCCUCCAAUCUUACUUGGCAGUAUUAAAAAUGCACUCAUUAAGUACUGCAAGGAGGAAACACACCUAUUAACACACAAAACCUUCACUAACUAACUGACCCAGUAAAUGCUGUAUUCAAGGCAGAUGAUUCAGAAAUAAAAUCAUAAGAACUUUGAACAUUUGGUAUUCUGUGCUGACCUGUUUGUGUGCCUUGGGCUCAGCAUGCCAGGGUCUUGCUCUUUGUUUACCUGCUGCAUGUAGGCAAGGAGGCAAAACAGCUGUGCAGAAAAGCAAAUGGUCUCUGCCCAAGAGGGGCAGUGGCCACGGGGGCCUGGAAUACCACCUCCACCUCUCACUUCCAGGGAGCCUGACCUGAGAGCUGGCUGCCCAACCCCCAAAAGAAAGCAAGCAUCUAUCACCAGGUAAAAGAAAUACUCUAUCAGGCAGAGGUUGGGAUAGUGAGCAGGCAAGCAUGCUGAAAUGGAAUUUUAAAUCGGGAAGAUGGUUUGGCAGCCACAGAUCAGAAUGGGAAGAGAAACCAAAAGAGGUGCCCCUAAAGCAUGUGGUAACCAGGAGAAGAGGGAUGGAAAUCUGAAACCAGAUGAGUCAGCUGGCCACAGAGUGAAAGGAUUGAGAAGCAGCCCGUCACCAGCUCAGGGGAGGUAUGCCAUCAAACAAAGGUAGCCGAUCCGCCAGAAGGGGAAGGAGGGCUUCCAGGUUCCAGUGUGGCUUUCAUGAAGGAAAUGUAUUUCAAUUCAUUAUUCCCAACAUUUCCGAUGGCCCCCUCUGUGCUAGGCUUGGCACCUUUGCUCUCCUGGCCAGGUUUCCAAUCCCAGAAGGUGGUUUUCUCUGCAAAAACAGCCUCUGAUCCUGGGCUGAGUCAAUGUCGCUGAAGAUCAGUACUGAGAGGCCUGAGCUUCCUGGACUGCCACCAGGGAAGCGAUGAGGCUGGUUUCCAGCUGUGAGGGACCCAGAACUGAGACUUCAAACUGCCCUGGGGAUCCUCUGACAACCGCUGGAAGGGAUGGGAGGCAUGGAAGGAGUAUAUUGACGGCUCCCCCUAGAUACCAAAUACUGCUUGGGGUCUCACUAAUGGGGAGUGUUUCAUCAGUGUCAACUGAAUGAAUGAUCUAACUAGUCAAUGGUUACACAGGAAAUACACACUUUUGAUCAUCUGGCUUACCUAAUUGCUGUAUUGACAUGUAGUUCAUCAGCUCAUUAGAAAAAAAAUGCAGAUUUUUCCAAAUAAUCUACAGCUGGAAAAGGCCUUGAGAGGUCCUGCAAUGCUUUGUCACUCCGAAUGUGGUCUAGAGCAGGCAGCCUCCGCAUCCCCAGGAGCUGCUGAGAAAUGCAGACUACCCAUUCUUGACCCAGUGGAUCAGAAUCUUCAUGUAACAAGAUUCCCAGGUGAUCAGUGUACAAAAUUUAAGUUCAAGAAGUAUCCCUUGAGUUCAUCACUCUCUAAUCUUAACCUUAAAUGGUCUGAUUUUUUUUUUAAAGAUCUCCAAGAAAAAAAGAGUUCCCAUAGCCCCUUUACUUAGGAAAUGCUACCUAUGGAUUUCAUUCCAGUAAGAAUUUUGGGUGUAUUUUGUUCUUAAACUCAGUGGGUAUUCUGACCAACCUCCUACCUUAAGCUCACAAAGGGCACCCCACCUGGGGGCAUGAACAGAUGCUUCCCUUCCUUCUGGAGGGAUUCCCUGGAUGCCUCUCUGAUGGCUGUGUAUACCUGCCCCUCUCCAGGUUGUCCCUGAGUGUCUCCAGGGAGGGUCAGUGUACCCACUCAGGGGCACCACUGGCAUGGUCACCCACAUACAGGGUACCUCCUGAGCCUGCAGAAUACCAAAGUAAUCACUGCCAUGAGAUCCUUUUCAGGGCUGGAAAACUCAAAUGUCUUCCAGAACCAGGCAA